UCUAACGGCCAUGCCACCUUGAACAAGCCCUAUCCCAUCUGAUCUCGGAAGCUAAGCAGGGUCGGGCCUGGUUAGUACUUGAAUGGGAGACCACUUAGGAAGACCAGGUGCUGUAGAU
rnacentral:rRNA from 1 species